rnacentral:rRNA from 1 species
AGUGAACGCUGGCGGUAGGCCUAACACAUGCAAGUCGAACGGCAGCACAGUAAGAGCUUGCUCUUACGGGUGGCGAGUGGCGGACGGGUGAGGAAUACAUCGGAAUCUACUUUUUCGUGGGGGAUAACGUAGGGAAACUUGCGCUAAUACCGCAUACGACCUACGGGUGAAAGCAGGGGAUCUUCGGACCUUGCGCGAUUGAAUGAGCCGAUGUCGGAUUAGCUAGUUGGCGGGGUAAAGGCCCACCAAGGCGACGAUCCGUAGCUGGUCUGAGAGGGUGAUCAGCCACACUGGAACUGAGACACGGUCCAGACUCCUACGGGAGGCAGCAGUGGGGAAUAUUGGACAAUGGGCGCAAGCCUGAUCCAGCCAUACCGCGUGGGUGAAGAAGGCCUUCGGGUUGUAAAGCCCUUUUGUUGGGAAAGAAAAGCAGCAGGUUAAUACCCCGCUGUUCUGACGGUACCCAAAGAAUAAGCACCGGCUAACUUCGUG